CCUACGGGCGGCUGCAGUGGGGAAUAUUGCACAAUGGGGGAAACCCUGAUGCAGCAACGCCGCGGGAGUGAAGAAGGAUUUCGGUAUGUAAAGCUCUAUCAGCAGGGAAGAAGAUGACGGUACCUGACCAAGAAGCCCCGGCUAACUACGUGCCAGCAGCCGCGGUAAUACGUAGGGGGCAAGCGUUAUCCGGAUUUACUGGGUGUCAAGGGAGCGCAGACGGCAGGGCAAGGCUGGAGUGAACGCCCGGGGCCCCACCCCGGAACUGCUCUUGAAACGGUGCGGCUAGAGUACUGGAGGGGCCGGCGGCCUUCCUCGUGUAGCGGUGAACUGCGUAGAUAUUAGGAGG
rnacentral:rRNA from 1 species